UAUUCCUCAGCUGACAGCUCAGAGCUGGGCAAGCACUCCUCGAGAUGAUGGGGCUGUGCACAUGCAGCAAGGGAGUCAAAAUAGCAUUUUGGGGGAAGGAGAAAAGGAAAUCGUAGUCCAGUAUCAAACAGAUUUUAUAAAGCAAAAUUUAUUUUCCUUUCCUUUUGAAAGCAAAUAUAAUCCUGCUGAAAUGGGGUAAUCAUAGAUUUUCUGGGAGUUUAAUUGUUAUUUGAUGUUUCAGUAUUAGUUAAAAUGAUGGCAGUGUUAAAGAGGAGAUCAUUAUUCCCAUUAAUUAGAGAGAGGGAAUAUUUUUUUCCCUAUUUUUCAGUGAAUCAACAAGUAAGAAUGUCUGGGGAUCUUGGAGAAGAAUAUAUGUCAAGUGAUUUUGAGCAGAUGAAAGAAUAAUAGAAAUUAGGUGUCUUAAGUAACAUUGGAAGAGCUUGCAAAAUUACUGAUUAUUGGAGUCAAACCUUGAUUUUGAGCAAAAUGUCACCAGUACAUUUGAGAGAAAUUUCGUGUGAUAAAUCUUUCUUUGAAUUUCAUCACUUUCUUUUAGCAAAACAACAUUCCUUUGCAGAUGAAUCAAAGCAGGGUUUGGCCCCUGCUGUGGUAGUUAUUGAGUCCCAGUGUUGGAGGGAGCCGUGUGAGAAUUAUUCUCCAUUUACAACCUAAUGAUGAUUUCUUCAGAGGCCAUUAGUGGAUUUCCCUGGCAGGCGGGUGUUCUUUUGAUGAAAAAUGCAUCACACCAGCUCAGCAGUUUGCAGAUGUCACCUGGGGGGGCACCUGAGCUCUUGGGAGGAGACAAGGGCAGGGAGCCUGGGGCAGAGCAGUGCUGGUGCGUUUGGAGACUUCAUUUUCACAAUGGCAAAAGGGGGCUAGAGCUCGAGCUAGUUACCAAGACUUCUUUGAUAAGACGGAAAUGGUGAGCACUGUGCAGUCUGACCCCCUGCCAGUGUCACCUGAGGUGUGUGCAGACAUUCCCCCAGUGCCUGCUCAUGUUAACCUGCAGGUGAGUUCAGGUAAAACCUGCAGGUGAGUUCAGGUAAAAGCAGCUGGCCUUGGGUGAGAUCUGUCAAGCUGAAGGAUGUAGUAAAUCAAGAAGAAUUUUUGUCUGAAGUUGUUUAAUUCUCCUUCAUUAAGGAAAGCUUUACUUGGUGCAAGAGGAGGAAAACAAAAAGAAUAUUUCAUUUGAGCUUUUCAGGUUGCUGGUCUGUGCCAGUGGUUUGUGGCUUCCCCAGCUGUGUGUGUAGCACAUCUGAGAAGUGGGAAGAGGAGAAUUGUUCUGCCCUGGGUGCCACAGGAGCCUCUCUGCUCUGGGGAGCACCACUGAAAUGUGCAGCUGUGGGAAGAGGUGUGUCCCAGCAGUGAACUAGCCAGGGAAACCCAAAUAUUUCUGUUUUCUGUGUGAAGCAUAAGAGCAGGUAUACAGGACUGUGCCAGAGCUGCCGGCCCUGUGUCCCUUUAUGACUGAAUUCUCUUAUCCCGAGGCAAAAACCAUAGAAAUCAGAUCAAAUAAUAGCUUGUUUCCAACACUGUCUUCCCCCACUGCAGCAAAUGCUUAGAAACAAUUGAUGUGAAUUAGCAGCUGCUCUUUGCUUGUAAGGAUUUAUUGAAAGGAGUUGGGAGAUUUUGGUCGUGGCUUUUUUUUUUUUUCUCCUCUGACCCUAGUCAUUUUCCCCACAUGCCUUUCUGAAAAAAAAAAAAAAAAGCUCUGUGAUCUGGUCAGAGACAAAACAGGGAGGGGUUUGCCAUGUGUGUACAUAGUGCUUUAGGUAGAAAGCCUGCUAGUCUGUUAAAGCUGACUUUCCUUUUCAAAAUUCCUGCCUGAUCCUGAAACACAAUGAAAACCUGUAUUUGAAUGCAAAAUAUUGAUUUGUAGGUGUUUGUAAACCUUGAUACUGCAGGUGGUGUCCCAAAAGAUCAAAGACAACGCUAAUAACUGCUAUGUGAUGUUGAUGAUAUAUUUAAUAUUUCAACCAUGUCAGCGUACUUUUGGUCAUUACUUUUCUAAAGUUAAGUCUUCUUCUCUUGAAUAAUCAAUAUCAGAUGUUUGCAUGAUGGAAAGUAAUUUAAGUUCACUCUUUAAAAAGCCGUGAUUCAUACUGUGGGUUAAGUUUGUUUAACAGAUUAACAUUUUCACUGAUGGGUGGCAGUUUUUUUUUUCUUUUUAGUGCUUUUGAUAGAAGAACAUCUAGAACAUUUUCCAACAAAAAGACAUUUUUUCCUCCAGUUGUGGAAGAAAUACUUUCCAAAAAUAAUUAUUUCCAAUACAGUUUGGCCUGUCUGGGUAACAAUAUGCAAGUAUGUAUAUCAUGUAGACGAUGUGAUUGAAAAGAUUAAAGAUCCCGUUUUGAUAAAGUAAUCAAGAAAUUAAACUAGCAAGAUUACAACCCUUUCUGACUUAAAAUCUUGGGUGUGCCAAUGUAAUUGAAGCAUUUGACCCCCACCAGAUUUGAGGGCCAAACUAUACACGUUUUAUUUUAAAAUUGACAACAGCCCAGACAAAGUUCUUUUACACCAGGAAAUACUGAGAAAUUUGGUCAUUUUAUAUCCUGUGCUGUGAGGUUUGACUCCUGGCCUGGGACCUUGGGGCAAAAUUAUUUUAAUGAUGCUUAUUCAGACUCAGCUAUAGUAGCAAGUAUCCACAAAUCACUUGUGUACUACAAAUUUAAUCCCUCCUUGAUUUUUUUUUUUUUCACUUCAAAAGGUGAGAAAAAGGCGGGGGGAGUGUAAUUUUAUAUGGCUCUAUUUGAAAAGGGUUUUCUGUACCUUUAUAAUUCUUUUGAAGCAAUAUUUAAAAAAAUAACUGCCAGCCAAAGUGGCAAUGCAGAAAAGUGCCAUCUUGUUUAGGAUUUGUACACGCCAGUUUUUAACACAGUGUUCUUUUCACUAAGUACUACAUACGUUAACUUAUAUUUAUAUAUUGUCAAUAUUGUUGUAACCAGGCUUCUCCUUUCUAAACACUUCAGGAACAAGGCCUUGUAUUUUUAGGUGAUUUUCAUAAACAGAAUAAUUCUUUUCCUUUCACUAGUAUCUUGCACUCGAUACAUGUAGCAAUACUUAAUAUAUUCUCUUCACAAGUAUUUGUUAAGUGAUUUAGUUAAUGGCUGAUAAAUGUUUUGUACAAAAUAGAUUCUGUACAGGAAAAAAAAUCUUUUAGAUAAACAUUAUUUAUUUUUACUGUUUUGUAAGUUAGACACUAUAAUGAAGCUCCUUUUUGCCAGAAUUACUGGAAGUGCCUCUUGGUAAAAUGUAUUAUACAGUAAAUAUGUAUUCAAAAUUAUUAGAAAUACUUGUCACAAAAUGAACAAUGUGGAUGUUGCAAUGUGAAGACAAAUGUACAACAUAAAUAUAAUUCUGUGGUAUCCUGUU